rnacentral:rRNA from 1 species
AGAGUUUGAUCAUGGCUCAGGACGAACGCUGGCGGCGUGCUUAAUACAUGCAAGUCGAGCGAGAAACCUCGAAGGGGUAACCCUUCGAGGUGGACAGCGGCGAACGGGUGAGUAACACGUGGGUAAUGUGCCCCAGACACCGGGAUAACAGCGGGAAACCGCUGCUAAUACCGGAUAACCCCUGCGCUCCGCAUGGAAAGCAGGGCAAAGCUCCGGCGGUCUGGGAUCAGCCCGCGGCCUAUCAGCUUGUUGGCGGGGUAACGGCCCACCAAGGCGAUGACGGGUAGCUGGCGUGAGAGCGCGACCAGCCACACUGGGACUGAGACACGGCCCAGACUCCUACGGGAGGCAGCAGUAGGGAAUCUUGCGCAAUGGGCGAAAGCCUGACGCAGCGACGCCGCGUGAGGGAUGACGGCCUUCGGGUUGUAAACCUCUUUCAGCAGGGACGAAGCCUCACGGUGACGGUACCUGCAGAAGAAGGUCCGGCCAACUACGUGCCAGCAGCCGCGGUAAUACGUAGGGACCGAGCGUUGUCCGGAUUUAUUGGGCGUAAAGAGCGCGUAGGCGGUCGUCCGCGUCGGAUGUGAAAGCUCAGAGCUCAACUCUGAGAGGCCAUUCGAUACGGGACGACUAGAGGCAGGUAGGGGAAAGUGGAAUUCCUGGUGUAGCGGUGAAAUGCGCAGAUAUCAGGAGGAACACCGGUGGCGAAGGCGGCUUUCUGGGCCUGUCCUGACGCUGAGGCGCGAAAGCUGGGGGAGCGAACAGGAUUAGAUACCCCAGUAGUCC